rnacentral:rRNA from 1 species
ACUCUCCACAAUGGAUAUCUCGGCUCUCGAAUCAAUGAAGAACAUAGUGAAAUAUGAUACUUGGUGUGAAUUAUAGAAUCUUGUGAAAUAUCAUGUCUUUGAGUUCAAGUUGUGCCCAAAACUAUUAGGCUGAGGGCACAUCUCCGUAGGCAUCACAAAUCGCGCCUCAAUCAUGGCGUGCACUGUUGUUGCGGGGCGGAUACUGCCCUCCCAUGUGCCCCUAGCUUGUGUCUGGCCCGAAUUCAUUUUCACAUCGACACACACUGUAGCAAGUGGUGGUUAUAACUCAAUUCUCUUUGUUGUAGCAGCUACAGCCCAUUGUGCAUCAGAACUCCAAGACCAGCCAUGCUUAGGCGCUCUGACUGUGACCCCAGGUUAGGCGGGAUUACCCGCUGAGUAUAAGAAUAUCAAUAAGCAGAGGAAAAGAAACUUACAAGGAUUCCCUUAGUAAUGGUGAGUGAAUCGAGAAUGGCCCAGCCAUAGAAUUGGGCAGCUUCAUCAUCUGAAUUAUAGUUUGGAGAAGCAUCCUCAGUGGUAGACUGGGCCUAAGUUCCCUAGAAGGGGAUGCCAUAGAGGGUGAGAGCCUCAUUCUGUUCAAACCCUGUCGCACCAUAAGGCACUAGCCACGAGUUGGGUUAUUUAGGAAUGUAGACUAAAUCAGGCGGUGAAUUCCAUCUAAGGCUAAAUACGAGCAAGAGAGUGAUAGCGAAUAAGUACCGCAAGGGAAAGAUGAUUUGAAAAGAGUGUCAAAGAGUGUUUGAAAUUAUUGGGAUAGAAGCGGAUGAUGGAUAGCGAUGCACCCAAGUCAUAUAUUUAACAUUGGCAAGCCAGUCUGCCGAUCGACUCGAGGCGUGGACCAGCAUGAAUUGGGGGCGGCCAAAGCCCAGGAACUCGAUACGCUCGUGGAAUGUUGUCUCCUUAAUUGUGGUAGAAAAUGUGCACCUCUGGCAUGCUUCAGCAUCUACGCGCUCCAACGUUGACCUGUGGGCUCCCCAUUCAACCUGUCUUAAAACAUGGACCAAGAAGUCUGACAUGUGUGCGAGUUAAUGAGCGAGUAAACCCAUAAGGUGUCAGGAAGCUUACUGGUGGGAUCCCCCUAAGAGGUGCACCACCGAUCAACCAUGAUCUUCUAAGGAGGGUUUAAGUGUGAAUAUAUCUCUUGGGACCAGAAAGAUAGUGAACUAUGCCUAAGCGGGGUAAAGCCAGAGGAAACUCUGGUGGAGCCCCACAGCAAUACAUACGUCCAAAUCAUUCAGCUGACUUGGGUAUAGGGGUGAAAGACUAAUUGAACCAUCUAGUAGUUGGUUCCCUCCUAAUUUUCCCUUAGGAUAGAUGGAGCUCGCGUAUGAGUUCUAUCAGAUAAAGCUAAUGAUUAAAGGCCUCAGGGCGCAACACCAUCGACCUAUUCUCUAUCUUUAAAUAGGUAGGAUGACGUGGAUUUUUUAUUGAUUCGUGCCACAGAAUCAAGCGCCCUAAGUGGGCCAUUUAUGGUAAGAAGAACUGGCAAUGCGGGAUGAACUGGCAGCCACGUUAUGGUUCCAAACAGAAUGCUAACCUAGAUUUCACAAAGGGUGUUGGUCAAAUAAAACAGUAGGACGGUGGUCAUGGAAGUCAAAAUCUGUUAAGAAGUGUGUAACAAGUCACCUACCAAAUCAAAUAGCCCCAAAAAUAGAUGGUGCUUAAGCGUGCGACCUACACCCAUCUAUCGGGAUAAGUGCCAGGCCCCAAUAAGUAGGAGAGCGCACCUUUCACUGCAAAACCUUGGGCGCGACCCCAGGAGGACGAUCGUCGGUACAGAUCUUGGUGGUAGUAGAAAAUAUUCAAAUAAGAACUUUGAAGGAUGAAGAGGGGAAAGUUUCACAUGGGUUAGUCGAUCUUAAGGUUUGGGAGAACCCUGAAAGAUAGCUCUUUUUGCACGUACUCUAAAAAGGAAUCGAGUUAAAAUUCUUAAACUGAGACAUGACGGUCUAUGGAAAUGUUUGGAAAUUUGAAUACAUCAGUGGAAGAAUCAGAAAGAAUUAUCUAUUUUGUUUAACAGCCUGCCCAACCUAGAGUCGGCUCAGCCGGAGGUAGGGUCCAGCCGUUGGAAGAGCACUACACGUCACGUAAUGUCAGAUAUGCUCCCGAAUAUCCUUGAAAAUAUGAAGGACCAAAUGCCCUCCAUGCUUGGUCAUACUCAUAACCUCAUCAGGUCUAUAAGGUGAACAACCUCUAGUCGAUGGAAUAAUGUAGGAAAAAUAAGUCGGUAAAAUGGAUCCAUAACUUCGAGAAAAGGAUUGGCUUUGAAGGAUGGGCACAAGGAUCCCAGUCCCGAAUCCGUAGGCUGUCGGUGAACUGCUUAAGCUACUUCUAUGAUGAGAGUAGGUCUUCACUUGCCGGUUGGGGGACGGACAAGGAAUGGUUCCUUCGGGGGUCUUCCCCGCACGUUGAACAGCCAACUUAGAACUGGUACAAAGGAGAUUCUUACUGUUUAAUUAAAACAAAGCAUUACGAUGGUCCCAAUGGAUAUUCACCCAAUGUAAUUUUUGCCCACUACUUUAAAUGUCAAAGUGAAGAAAUUCAACCAAGCGCGAGUAAACGAUGGGAGUAACUAUGACUAUCUUAAGGUAUCUAAAUGCCUUAUCGUCUAAUUAGUGAUGUGUAUGAAUGGAUUAACGAGAUUUCCACUAUUCUUGUCAAAGAUCCAAAAAAACCAAAUCCAAGGGAACGGGCUUGGUAGAAUCAUUGGGGAAAGUAGACCCUGUUAAGCUUAACUCUAGUCCAACUUUUUGAAAUGACUUGAGAGGUGUAGUAUAAGUGGGAGUAGAAUGGAAAAAGUGAAAUACCACUACUUUUAAUGUUAUUUUACUUAUUCCGUGAAUCGGACGCGGGGCACUACCUCUCUUUUUGGACCCAAGGCUCGCUCUGUGGGCUAAUCUAGGUGGAAGACAUUGUCAGGUGGGGAGUGAUACACCCAAAUUACAACUCUCAGUAGAAAGUGUAAGUGGUCGCUAUCAAAUAUAGAACC